rnacentral:rRNA from 1 species
AAACUUUCAACAACGGAUCUCUUGGUUCUGGCAUCGAUGAAGAACGCAGCGAAAUGCGAUAAGUAGUGUGAAUUGCAGAAUUCAGUGAAUCAUCGAAUCUUUGAACGCACAUUGCGCCCCUUGGUAUCCCGAG